AGUGAACGCUGGCGGUAGGCCUAACACAUGCAAGUCGAACGGCAGCACAGUAAGAGCUUGCUCUUACGGGUGGCGAGUGGCGGACGGGUGAGGAAUACAUCGUAAUCUACUUUUUCGUGGGGGAUAACGUAGGGAAACUUACGCUAAUACCGCAUACGACCUACGGUUGAAAGCAGGGGAUCUUCGGACCUUGCGCGAUUGAAUGCGCCGAUGUCGGAUUAGCUAGUUGGCGGGGUAAAGACCCACCAAGGCGACGAUCCGUAGCUGGUCUGAGAGGAUGAUCGGCCACACUGGAACUGAGACACGGUCCAGACGCCUAAGGGAGGCAGCAGUGGGGAAUAUUGGACAAUGGGCGCAAGCCUGAUACAGCCAGACCGCGUGGGUGAAGAAGGCCUUCGGGUUGUAAAGACCUUUUGUUGGGAAAGAAAAGCAGCAGGUUAAUACCCAGCUGUUUUGACGGUACCGAAAGAAUAAGCACCGGCUAACUUCGUG
rnacentral:rRNA from 1 species